rnacentral:rRNA from 1 species
UAAUACCACAUUAGUGGUGCGUUUAUUUGAUUAAACCAUUAUAUUGGUUGACUCAAAAUAUCCUCGCUGAUUUUGUUACUAAAACAUACCGUAUGUGUAUCUGGUUUAUCAACUUUCGAUGGUAGGGUAUUGGCCUACCAUGGUUGUGACGGAUAACGGAGAAUUAGGGUUCGACUCCGGAGAGGGAGCCUGAGAAACGGCUACCACAUCCAAGGAAGGCAGCAGGCGCGAAAAUUACCCAAUUUUAGUUAAAAGAGGUAGUGACGAAAAAUGACAACCAAAUAUUAUUAUUAAUAUUUGGAUUGAAAAUCUUCAAGUUUAAAUAACUUGUUGGUAAAGGAAAGGGCAAGUCUGGUGCCAGCAGCCGCGGUAAUACCAGCUUUCCAAGUGCAUAAAAUGAUUGUUGUGGUUAAAAAGCUCGUAGUUGGAUUAUAAAGAUUGUAUAAUGAGCAUCUUGGAUGUUAUUAAUCAUUAUCAUCUUAUAUUUUUAUUAUAUUAGAAAUAAUAUA